UUCUGUCUGUACUCCGUAGCCGUUGUUUUUCCUCAGCUCUCUUCUCGCUCUCUUUCCUUCUCUCUUUUUUUCUUUUCUCUUCAUUGUUUUCUCCGGAGAGAGAGAGAGAGAGAGAGAGAGAGUCAUCUCGCCGGUGAGUGAGAGCUGGCUUGCCGGCGCGCGCGAGAGAGAGGGCUUGCCGGCGCGCGAGAGAGAGGUAGGUCGCCGUGGUGAUUCAGCUCGCCGGAGAGUUUUCUGCUGAUUUUUCUCUCCUUGUCUCCUAUUUGUUUGCAUCAUUAGUUGAUUUUUUUUUCAAUCUUAUUCCGGCUAGGUUUUGAUGCUUCAGGUAGCUCUUAAUGUUUGGAUCUGAUGCUUGUUUAACUGUUUUAGAUUUUGGAAUCGGUAGUUUUGGUUUAGUCCCCUGAUCUGUUGAUUUCUAUGUCAUGGAACCUGAACACGCGGAGCACUUCCGUCCUGCCCUUGUUUUGAUUAGUCCCCUGAUCCGUUGAUUUCUAUGUCAUGCCGAUGAGAUUGCCUAGCUGUUGAUUUUUUAUUUUGUUAAGUUCCAGGUGAGUAGUGCUCUGAUCUGUUUAUUUAUAGGUAAAGCUACACACUAUUUGAAAUUUUCUAGGUCUGAUCUGUUUUUUAAGUACAUCUGCUUUGUGUGAUUUGGGAAUAGAAUAAAUUGUAACCACCGAACUAGCCAUCGGUGGAAACGAUGGCUGGAUUUUUUUUUUUUGGUCUUGUCACUGAGCUCGAUUUUGUGUCUGGUAGAUGGGGAUUUUUUUUUGUGUGAUUUGCAUUUUUCGGAGUAAAUUGGACAUGCUUUUGGCAGAUUUACAGGUUUGCUAGCAUCUUUUUCCCCCUCUGUUUUGUUCUGUCCUGUACAGGGGAUUUUGUUUUUUCCCUCUGUUCUUAACAUGCACGUCUCCUUCUGUGUUUGUUAACAAUAAAUUGUAAAUGUGUCCACCUUAGAAUAACAAAAGCUUUUAUCAUGUUCUUUGUUUUAUGAAACAAAGCAGUGUCAAUUAUACACCUAAAUCUUGUUUGAAUGGAUCACCUGGUUAAGUUGCAAGCACCUUUAGAGCUCCAUUCAUUGUGUCCUAUACGAUAGAACCAAUGAAGAUCCCUUCUACAAUACAAUCUUGAUUGAGCAACCCUGUGCAGGCUGCAGCAAGCUUACAUCUAAACUGUGCGUUGAUUAAAGAUAUAUGUUGUGUUCAAUUUGCAAAACAAGGUGAUGUAUGAUUUCCAUGUGCUUCUGUUACAAUUCCCUUCUGUUAUUGUUCUAUAUAAAGUUUAGAUGUACUUUCCUUCAUCAUUCAGAACAUCAGCAGCAUGCAUGCUUGCAUAUUUUUUAUUCUUUAUUAUGAAUGAACCAUUGCAAUAUUGUACUUACUUGGUAAAGAUUGAUAGUUGUAUACACUAGUUACGUGAAGCUUGCCAUUUUGCUAGCCCCACACCCAUAUACUUUCUCCUGGAAAAUUAAUACAGCAAAAGUUACAGUUGUAAAAAGUCCAUAUGCACUAUAGUUACAGUUGUAACUUUUGUAGUUUCUCACUGUAACUGAAUGUAGGUACUUAGAUUAUUUUUAUUUACUACAUGUGUCAUGACUAAUUUUUUAUAUAUAAAUUUGUGCUAGAUGAAAUUUUCUACGAAGAUCAGAUAUGAUGCAUAAUAAUAGGCAGAAGCUGAGUUUCAUGGUGGCAUUUCAAGCUCAACAUAUGAGAUGUGCUCAUUUGAUCAAAUCGGUUGUUAAAGGUAUUAGAGAAAAUAUCACUGAUUGAUACAUGUUUUCUCUGCAGUGAUUUCUGCAGUGAAAAUAUUACUGUUGAAUCUGUUUUCUACACUAGUAUAGAGUUUUUUUUGGUUUGUUUUUGUAUGGUUCCGACCAUUUGUAUUGUGUCAAAGUUUUGAAUGAUAAUUUCGUGUCUAAUUUCUAUUGGGCUCUGUGUUUUGGGCUUGUUUUUCA